UGUGGUGAGCGGCGUGAGGCUGUUUGCACAGACAGCUAUUGUGUGCUUCAAAUGCUGGAAGGACGACGAACCCCAA
rnacentral:SRP_RNA from 1 species